CCACACGACCGUACCGCAAACCGACACUGGUGCGCGAGAUGAGUAUUCUAAGGCGCUUGAGAGAACUCAGGAGAAGGAACUCGGCAAAUUGACACCGUAACUUCGGAAGAAGGUGUGCCUUUAGUAGGUGAACCUGUACAAGGGGAGCCCAAUGAGGUUGCAAAAAAUCGGUGGCUGCGACUGUUUAAUAAGAACACAGCACUCUGCAAACACGAAAGUGGACGUAUAGGGUGUGACGCCUGCCCGGUGCUGGAAGAUUAAAUGAUGGGGUGCAAGCUCUUGAUUGAAGUCCCAGUAAACGGCGGCCGUAACAAUAACGGUCCUAAGGUAGCGAAAUUCCUUGUCGGGUAAGUUCCGACCUGCACGAAAGGCGUAACGAUGGCCACACUGUCUCCUCCUGAGACUCAGCGAAGUUGAAAUGUUUGUGAUGAUGCAAUCUCCCCGCGGAAAGACGGAAAGACCCCAUGAACCUUUACUGUAGCUUUGUAUUGGACUUUGAACAGAUCUGUGUAGGAUAGGUGGGAGGCUUUGAAGUGUGGUCGCUAGAUCGCAUGGAGCCAACGUUGAAAUACCACCCUGGUGUGUUUGAGGUUCUAACCUAGGCCCGUAAUCCGGGUCGGGGACAGUGCAUGGUAGGCAGUUUGACUGGGGCGGUCUCCUCCCAAAGCGUAACGGAGGAGUUCGAAGGUACGCUAGGUACGGUCGGACAUCGUGCUAAUAGUGCAAUGGCAUAAGCGUGCUUAACUGCGAGACUGACAAGUCGAGCAGAUGCGAAAGCAGGACAUAGUGAUCCGGUGGUUCUGUAUGGAAGGGCAUCGCUCAACGGAUAAAAGGUACUCUGGGGAUAACAGGCUGAUACCGCCCAAGAGUUCAUAUCGACGGCGGUGUUUGGCACCUCGAUGUCGGCUCAUCUCAUCCUGGGGCUGUAGCCGGUCCCAAGGGUAUGGCUGUUCGCCAUUUAAAGAGGUACGUGAGCUGGGUUUAAAACGUCGUGAGACAGUUUGGUCCCUAUCUUCCGUGGGCGCUGCAGAUUUGAGGAAGCCUGCUCCUAGUACGAGAGGACCGGAGUGGACACACCUCUGGUGUAUCGGUUGUCACGCCAGUGGCAUUGCCGAGUAGCUAUGUGUGGAAGAGAUAACCGUUGAAAGCAUCUAAGCGGGAAACUCGUUUCAAGAUGAGAUCUGCCGGGGCCUUGAGCCCCCUAAAGAGUCGUUCAAGACCAGGACGUUGAUAGGUCGGGUGUGGAAGCGCAGUAAUGCGUUAAGCUAACCGAUACUAAUUGCUCGUGCGGCUUGACC
rnacentral:rRNA from 1 species